rfam:Triticum aestivum genome assembly, contig: Triticum_aestivum_CS42_TGACv1_scaffold_569635_7AS
UACAUACUCCCUCCGUUCGGAAUUACUCGUCCAAGAAAUGAAUGUAUCUAGAUGUAUUUUAGUUGUAGAUACAUCCAUUUUUGUGACAAGUAAUACGAACGGAGGGAGUACUAC